UAUCUCUGUAGAGUCUGCAUAUCAAUAAGCGGAGGAAAAGAAACUAACAAGGAUUCCCUUAGUAACGGCGAGUGAAGCGGGAAGAGCUCAAAUUUGAAAUCUUCAAGGUUUUACCUUGACGAAUUGUAGUUUAAAGAAGUGUUUUCUGUUGAAGUUUCGGUAAAAGUUCUUUGGAAUAGGACAUCAUAGAGGGUGAGAAUCCCGUAUUUGACGUUAUUCGUUCUAGCUGUGUGAUACACUUUCAAAGAGUCGGAUUGUUUGGGAAUGCAGUCCAAAAUGGGUGGUAAAUUUCAUCUAAAGCUAAAUAUUGGCGAGAGACCGAUAGCGAACAAGUACCGUGAGGGAAAGAUGAAAAGAACUUUGAAAAGGAGAGUUAAACAGUACGUGAAAUUGUCAAAAGGGAAGCGUUUGACACCAGUGUUGUUUUUCCGAAAAUCAAUUACGAAUGGCUUGAUUCUGUGUUGUAUUGACCUUAUCAGCUUUCUUCACUUUUUUCGAGUCUUUCUUAAUGCACUUUUCGGUUAACAAGUCAACAUCAAUUUCUUUUGUUGUAAAAGAGUAUUCGGAAGGUGGCUUUCUUUUCGGAGAAAGUGUUUAUAGCCCUAUACUUCUACAAUCGGAGAGAUUGAGGUCUGCAGCGUAGAUCCUUCGGGGUUAGAUACACUUUGUGCUAAGUUGUAGCUUUUCAUAGACAACUUGUUGACUAUGUUUAGUCAUGCGGCUUACUCGCUUAUGCUAUUUUACCUACGCUUAGGAUGUUGAAGAUGUAGCACAUCAU
rnacentral:rRNA from 1 species